AUUGCGCUUGCGCUUACAUACAUUGAAACAUCUCUUUUUCGUAUAUUUUCUCUCUUUUUUACGUCUAGCAAUUUAGUUAUUACAUGAAAUAUCUUUUUUAUAAGGUACAUCGAUACUUUCACCUUGUUCGGUACAUUUACAGCACGUUCCAUCUAUUUUUCAUCGUAUAAUAAAGAACAAUUCCUAAACUUUAAAUUUACAUCAAUUUCAUCUUAACAUCAGAUAUUAUAGAAGAUAUUAUAAUAGGACAUAUUAUAAUAAACAUUUGAUAAGAAAGAGAUGAUAUUCAUUGUCUUUGUCGAAAGCUUUCAUUGACAAAGCUACUCACUUUGUCACUCUAAAAAUGGCAGUUGCAGGCGCACACUGUUUUAACCUCCAUCGAAUUCUGUUUAUGACUGUGGGAUUAUGGCCAUAUCAGAAAACAUUUAUUUGGCAAAUACAAGCAGUGUUCUUUUUCGGUGCAUACUUCUCCAUGUUAUUUUUUCAGUUUACGCCGUUCUUAACGACGACUUGUAACACGGAGUGUAUGGUAAAACGUAUUUCUUAUAUUUCUAUUACUGUAGUUUCUAUUAUGAAUUACUACUUAGUCUACUUCAAUUCUGAAGCUGUAAAGCAAGUUUUUCAACAUAUGCAGUUUGACUGGAAAAUGUUUAAAAAUACUGCAGCAAUGAAAAUAUUUGAAGAAUUUCUCUUCGAAUCUUAUAUUUUCGCAUUAUUUCUGUGCUUUACUUUUGUAAUAACUUCAUUUGUUCUUACGCUUAUGGAAAGUACGCCUAUGAUCCUUGAUGUUAUCGCACCAAUGAAUGACUCUCGACCACGAAACCUUGAACUAGAUUUCGAAUUCUUCAUCUUCAAUGAAGAACAAUAUUUCUUUUUUUUAUUACUGCUUGAGGGAGCAGCAGCAGGAUUCGGAGUUUGGUCGCUACUUGCGAUUUUCACGUUCUUCACUACAGUAAUGAAACAUUCAUGUGCAACAUAUAAAAUUGUUAGGUUAACGAGCGCACUAUUUUUCUUAAUAAUGGAGUUUAUAUACUAUUUACAUUAUCUAAAUUUUUUCAGUUAUUUAAUUCAAGAUACUGUACCUGUCUAUAUGCUACAACUUCCUGUUGUUCAAAGAAUACAAUAUAUGCAUCGGAAUAUUUGUCUUUCAGUUUACCUUCAUAGAAGAACCUUAGAGUUCUGCAAAGGCUUGUUACUUUCGUUUGAUAUAUGGUUGUUUCCAUUACUGUUAGUUUACGUCUUGUCAUUAAGUUGCGUCCUAUUUCGCAUUAGGAUUAUGGGCAAUCUUCAAACCUUGUAUACAUGAAGAAUAUGAUUUGUACAAGAGUAAUUCUACGUAUUUAAUGUAUACAAUGGUAUAAUACAGUUUAAUGGUUUUCAUGAUGUUGUUUUGUCCUGCGGACUUUUGGUUUGUUAUUUGGGGUACAUGUUUACAGCAAAUUGGUUUGCUCAGUCUUAUACUGACCACAGUGUAGAAGUAUUAGAAUCUACGUAAGAAAUAAUAUAUGAAUAAUUUUAUAUAUUUUAUGAUAUAAGUGUUGGAUUAGAUAUUUUGUUUCUGUAGUAGAUUUUAUUAGAUUUUUUGUUGAUACUGUUUGUACUAAUACCGAGUGGUGAAAAUAUAAAUAACAAUAUUGUUGCAUCCGGGGUGGUCCUAUAUCAGGAAUCCACCCGGUGCAGCGUAAAGCCGGUAGCCAGCUGAAGGCCAGCUGAGCGGCGACACGAGUUAAAAAGAAAACGCGAAUUUCCACGCAACGAAUCUCAUGGCGACGUAAACAAUAAAUAAACGGAGAGGUGGAGACAAGACUUCUGUCCGAUAAGACGUGUAUUCUUGAGUUGCUCGCUGAGCUGUACCGUUUCUAAAUGAAAUUCAAUAUUUCGGAAGUCACGAGUCUCGCGCGAACGCGUCCCGCAAGCGUGCGAGAGUGUUGCGAGUGUAUAUGAUGCUCUUUGGUAUGUAGCGCCGUUACCGAUUCAGAAAUUGUUUUUAAUGAUGCAAACAUCUAUAAAGAGUCAUAAACUAGUGUUGGGUGGUCUUUUUGUUGGGUCCAUGGAAGGAUUUUCUACGGUAAUAAAUAUUAUGUUUACAGUAAUCUAAGUAAUAACUUGGAUAUAUUUAAUAAUAAUUGAAGAUACUUGCUGAGAAAUAUUUAAUAAUUACUAUCUAUAUGGAGACGAAUUAUUGUUUCAGCUUGUGACUUCAGCUAUAUCUUAUUUUACUGUUUUGCACGCUAUGCAAUUAUGAGUAUAAAGUGACGAAGAAACAGCGAAGAAUAUAUAGUUAGCAGAGCAACGUUUACAUGCAUUAUAAGUGUUCUAAGAAAGAAAAAAACUACCUAUGUUAUAUGUAUGUCAUUUGUACGUCAGAGACUAGCACAUCGAUUAUUUUCUGGCAGAUAUUAUUCACAUUUGGUAGUAUAGAGUUUAUAUUAUUUUAUGUAUCUGUUUUAAUUUAGGGAAUAUUAAUUGCUAAUGUAACAUAUCAUAUUUAUAAAAUUUUCAUUAUUAAAUUUAAUG
rnacentral:misc_RNA from 1 species